UGGGGAAUUUUGGACAAUGGGCGAAAGCCUGAUCCAGCAAUGCCGCGUGUGUGAAGAAGGCCUUCGGGUUGUAAAGCACUUUUGUCCGGAAAGAAAUCCUUGGCUCUAAUACAGUCGGGGGAUGACGGUACCGGAAGAAUAAGCACCGGCUAACUACGUGCCAGCAGCCGCGGUAAUACGUAGGGUGCAAGCGUUAAUCGGAAUUACUGGGCGUAAAGCGUGCGCAGGCGGUUUGCUAAGACCGAUGUGAAAUCCCCGGGUCUCAACCUGGGAACUGCAUUGGUGACUGGCAGGCUAGAGUAUGGCAGAGGGGGGUAGAAUUCCACGUGUAGCAGUGAAUGCGUAGAGAUGUGGAGGAAUACCGAUGGCGAAGGCAGCCCCCUGGGCCAAUACUGACGCUCAUGCACGAAAGCGUGGGGAGCAAACAGGAUUAGAUACCCUGGUAGUCCAGCGCCCUAAACGAUGUCAACUAG
rnacentral:rRNA from 1 species